UCCGGUUUGGCACCGGCAGUCUCCCUAGAGUUCCCGGCAUUAUCCGCUGGCAACUAAGGACAGGGGUUGCGCUCGUUGCGCCACUUAAGGCAACACCUCACGGCACGAGCUGACGACAGCCAUGCACCACCUGUGCAGGCUCCGAAGAGCACCCGCUUUCACGGGUUUCACCCUGCAUGUCAAGCCCAGGUAAGGUGGGGAUGACGUAGACGUCAUAACC
rnacentral:misc_RNA from 1 species